rnacentral:rRNA from 1 species
CUGGGAGCUUGCUUCUGGGGGAUUAGUGGCGAACGGGUGAGUAACACGUGAGCAACCUGCCCCUGACUCUGGGAUAAGCGCUGGAAACGGCGUCUAAUACUGGAUACGAGACGGAACCGCAUGGUUACCGUUUGGAAAGAUUUUUCGGUUGGGGAUGGGCUCGCGGCCUAUCAGCUUGUUGGUGAGGUAAUGGCUCACCAAGGCGUCGACGGGUAGCCGGCCUGAGAGGGUGACCGGCCACACUGGGACUGAGACACGGCCCAGACUCCUACGGGAGGCAGCAGUGGGGAAUAUUGCACAAUGGGCGGAAGCCUGAUGCAGCAACGCCGCGUGAGGGAUGACGGCCUUCGGGUUGUAAACCUCUUUUAGCAGGGAAGAAGCGAAAGUGACGGUACCUGCAGAAAAAGCACCGGCUAACUACGUGCCAGCAGCCGCGGUAAUACGUAGGGUGCAAGCGUUAUCCGGAAUUAUUGGGCGUAAAGAGCUCGUAGGCGGUCUGUCGCGUCUGCUGUGAAAUUCCGAGGCUCAACCUCGGGCUUGCAGUGGGUACGGGCAGACUAGAGUGCGGUAGGGGAGAUUGGAAUUCCUGGUGUAGCGGUGGAAUGCGCAGAUAUCAGGAGGAACACCGAUGGCGAAGGCAGAUCUCUGGGCCGUAACUGACGCUGAGGAGCGAAAGGGUGGGGAGCAAACAGGCUUAGAUACCCUGGUAGUCCACCCCGUAAACGUUGGGAACUAGUUGUGGGGUCCUUUCCACGGAUUCCGUGACGCAGCUAACGCAUUAAGUUCCCCGCCUGGGGAGUACGGCCGCAAGGCUAAAACUCAAAGGAAUUGACGGGGACCCGCACAAGCGGCGGAGCAUGCGGAUUAAUUCGAUGCAACGCGAAGAACCUUACCAAGGCUUGACAUACACGAGAACGGGCCAGAAAUGGUCAACUCUUUGGA